rnacentral:rRNA from 1 species
AACGAACGCUGGCGGCAUGCCUAACACAUGCAAGUCGAACGAGACCUUCGGGUCUAGUGGCGCACGGGUGCGUCACGCGUGGGAACCUGCCCUUAGGUUCGGAAUAACUCCCCGAAAGGGGUGCUAAUACCGGAUAAUGUCUUCGGACCAAAGAUUUAUCGCCUUUGGAUGGGCCCGCGUUGGAUUAGCUAGUUGGUAGGGUAAAAGCCUACCAAGGCGACGCUCCAUAGCUGGUCUGAGAGGAUGAUCAGCCACACUGGGACUGAGACACGGCCCAGACUCCUACGGGAGGCAGCAGUGGGGAAUAUUGGACAAUGGGCGAAAGCCUGAUCCAGCAAUGCCGCGUGAGUGAUGAAGGCCUUAGGGUUGUAAAGCUCUUUUACCCGGGAUGAUAAUGACAGUACCGGGAGAAUAAGCUCCGGCUAACUCCGUG